rnacentral:rRNA from 1 species
UACGGGGGGGGCAAGCGUUGUUCGGAAUUACUGGGCGUAAAGGGCUCGUAGGUGGCCAACUAAGUCAGACGUGAAAUCCCUCGGCUUAACCGGGGAACUGCGUCUGAUACUGGAUGGCUUGAGUUUGGGAGAGGGACGCGGAAUUCCUGGUGUAGCGGUGAAAUGCGCAGAUAUCAGGAGGAACACCGGUGGCGAAGGCGGGUCUCUGGGCCGUAACUGACGCUGAGGAGCGAAAGCAUGGGGAGCGAACAGG